rnacentral:lncRNA from 1 species
UUUUUUUAUACAGAUUAUAGAUAUAAGACGAUGUGGUAUUAGUGCCAAGGAGACAAAGUCUCCAUCCAAGUAACAAUAUGUAAAAGUAAACCAUAAAUUAGGUAAAAGUACGGCCUUCAACACGGUGCGAUGGCUCACGCCGAACAGCAAACUAUAAAGGGACACACAAGGACUAAUAUUAAACAAUUAAAACAGGAAAACCAACGGUCUAAUCUAUGUAAAUAAACGAGAAACACUUAUGAACAAAAAUCAACACACGACAACCACUUAACAUGAGGUUCCUGACUUAGGACAGGUGCAAACACAUACAGCGUGUUUAAACAUUUUAAAAGGUACGAACUUUCCCCCUUACCUGAAACAAUAGUGUAACAUCCCA